UUCCCAUACUCUCACUAAAAUACUCCCAAACACGCUCAUUACCACUCUCUAAACAUCCACCUAACAAACCACAUACUCCUUUAACAAAAAACAUCAUCAUCUUUCUUCCACCCACUGACCACUCUAAUUCUUCUUUUACAACUCACAUAUUCCCUCUCCAUUUUUUAUACAGAUCCCACGUGAACACUCCAUACCUCCACUAAAACACAUGACACACACAUCACUCACUUCCACUCAUUCCCUCUCAAAUGCACACACCACACAAAACACACUCCCUAUAUAAUACACCACACAAAUUAGAACACGGGAGGGGAGAAAAGAAGGAGAAAAGAUAUAGAAACUAGAAGAGAAAGAGACUGAAAAACAAGAGAAAAACACUUAGUAAAAAAAAAAAAAGAAGCAUAGAAAGUGAGAGAAGAGAAAGAGAAAACCCAAACGGAAGAGAAGAAGAGUUCGGGUUUAGAGUUUGAAGUGCCAUUCAAGUUUUCGAUGAUGGUGUUUUGUUUCUAUAUUCGAUUCAGUUCAUUAUACAGGUUCUUAUGUGUCAUGUACUCUUAUAAAUUUUACUACGAACAAGCAUGAAUGAAAUCGUUUAAAUAAAAUCAUGCAUUCUUUGGUUAUGAAUCGUUGAUGGAAAAUUUAUUUUUUUAUCGUGAGCGGUAUGUUUAGUCAUUUUGAGUUUGAAGUUUGAUUUUCUAUAUCGCUUGAGUGCUCAAAUUUUAAUAGUCAAAGAAUUAUCAUAUUCUGCUAUUUCAAAUUAAAAAUGACAAGAAAUGAAUAAAAAAAUUUCAUGUCAGUUAGAUGAUAGGGAUUUAAUAUAUUGUGCUUAUUCUGACAUCUUGGUCCCGUAAUCUCUUCCUGUUGCUUUUCUAAUUGACUAUAAAGUUUCUUUUCGUUAGUAAGUUCUUAUAUAAUAUGAAAUUGUGUUCAUGUUAACCCACUUAUAGAUGAUGGCCAUUAAGUGUCUUUAUGUAAUAGAUUAUUAUGUGUAAAUAAUAUAUUUGAAGGGUAUGCAAAGAACGACGGAUCGUAUCUUAACAUUCAAGAUAAGCAAUUCUUAUUAUUUAAAUAGUGGUUUGGACUAUCACUCAACUAGUUCCUGUGAUAGACAAUAGAUAAUUAAUGAAAUCCAUAUCAUGCUAUAGUUUGUUUUCUUUGUUAAGUGAGUUUUGUUCUGUGUUGGUGAAUAGAAAUAAAAAUGGGAUAUGAAUAUUUUAAUAGCCACUUGAUAACAAAGGAGAAGAGUGGUGUGAACUUAUCUUUAGUUUUUACUCCUAUUUGUUACUGUUCAAUUAAUAGUUAGGUGUGUAAUGAUAGUAUAAUCAAGAGGGAAAUUCUUUUUAAUAUUAUUGGUAGUUGGUACGUGGUCAAAUCAUGAUGUGCACUAGCUCUUCAUAAUAUUUUGAACUAAAUCAAAAUCCCAUUCGGUUGGCCUAAUUAAUUAUUAAUGUGAGGUAAAAUAAAAUGGGUUGUAAAUUUAUUCAAGAUUCAUCAUAUCCGAUAGAUUAAAAGAGAGGAAAAACCUAUUGUACGGGAGUGAACUUAUAAAAUAAUUAGUUAGGUUCUUAUCUUCUAAAUAAUUAAGAAUUUAAUAUACAAAUAAAAAUUAAUGAAAAGCUCUGCUACCAACCAUUCGUUAUAGUAAAAUUAAUUCACCAUUUGAAGCCGAUUGGAUUGGGUUGGAUAGAUUUUAAACCUUUAGGUGCUUAUUUAGACUAGGAAAAUGGGGACGCUCCAUAAAUGCCACAAAGGCACGAGAAAUAUAUCAAAACUUGUGGUAACGCCGAAAAGUACUACUAUCGGUAAGUCACGCAUCAAUACAGUUUUAAAUAUAUUCAAAAAUAAUUAAAAGGAGGGAUAGAAAUCACUUUUAGGCUAACAAAUAUUAUAUAUCCAAGAGAUUAAUUUAAGCCAGACAUAAGUCAUUAAAGCAAUUGUGCUAGAACCACGGGACUCGAGGGGUGCCUAACACCUUUCCCUCGGUCACAGAAUUCCUUAUCCGAAUUUCUAGUUCACAGAUCAAAAAUUAAGAGUCAUUGUCUUUUGAAGAUGGAUUCAAUAAGGUGACUUGGAACACUCAAACUCAAUUUCAAGUGACUACUCUAUAAAAUAAAUAAUCCCUAUUCAAAACGUCACUUUAAUUGGAAAACCCCAUUUUCUCUAAAACCAGUUGCACUAGCGGGGUUGGAUGCGGUAAAAAUAGGGGUGUGACAUCCAAUAGUGAUUGGACCGGUUUUAAUGGCUCAAUAGACUUGUUGAAAGGCCUCCAAAGCCUCGCACUGUAGUAAACAACGAUGGAACUAAUAGAAAUUUCCCUGGUCCAAAUUUAUAUGGUUGGGUUGUUGGAGGAGACUAUUAUACAACAGAAGGUGUUUGGGAGAAUACCUGUGCAGGAAGAGGGAGGUUGAGAAGGCCAUAUACCAUCUCAGUCCUUGUUUAAGAGAAAACACACGGUAGAAAGGAAAGUGUAGCAAAAUUGGUUGAUGAAAUUGACAUGGAAAAUUUAAAAACUGUAUGAGCUGUGAAUGUUAAAGUGUAUCCAAAAAUGAAAAUUCAGCAGUCGUUGAAGAAAAAGAAGAAUGGUCAAGAGGACUUGAACUGGUCACUUUGCUAAAGACUGCAACUAGCGAGAGUGUCCUCAACGAAGACCCAAAAAAUGCAGGAUCAUAACUCUAAGGAAGCAGCUGCACGAGCACAAAAGUUGGUAAGAUUGUCGGUCAGAAUUAAAACCUAAACCAAUUACUCCUGCAAUAAAAAUACGAGAUCAAGCCAAGAGGGAAAUUUCUCAAGUUAAACAUGCAUCCCAUGCCUCCUGUUUACGGCUCUGGUCAGGUCAAAGGUAGUGGAAACAAAAAGGCAUAGGAUUUUGACCCAACUUCGGACCUUUUUAUUUCUACUGCCAUUGACCUGAUCAUAGCCACAAACAGAAGGCAUGUCAUGCAAGUUAGAAUUCAGAAAUUAAUGUCUUGGCUUCCCUUAUUUUUAAUUCAGGAAUUAUUGGUUCAGGUUUUAAUUCUAACCAACAAUCUUACCACCUUUCGUACUCGCGAAGCUUCUUUCUUAGAGUUCUGGUCCUGAACUUUGUGAGAGUCUUCAUUGAGGCCACGCUCGCUAGUUGCAUUCUCGAGCAAAGUGUCCAGCUCUAGUCCUGUUGACCAUUCUUCUUCUUUUUUUUUCUAUCGACUGAUGGAUUUUUAUAUUUGGAUACACUUUCACAUUUAAAGCUCAUCCAGUUUUUUUGUUUCUCAUGUCAAUUUCAUUGUCCAAUUUUUCUACACUUUCCUUCCUACCCUGUGUUUCCACUUAAACAAGGUCUGAGAUGAUAUAUGGCCUUCUCCACCUCCCACUUUGCGCAUAGGUAUUCUCCCAAGUACCUUCUGCUGUAUAAAAGUCUCCUCCAUCAAUCUAUCCAUUAAGUUUAGACUAGGGUAAUUUCUAUUAGUUCUAUCGUUAUUUGUUGCAUUGCGAGGCUUCGAAGGCCUUUCAAGAAGUCCAUUGCGGCAUUAAAACCGGUUCAAUCACUAUUGGAUAUUUAAAUUGCCGCCAAAAUCUUGAACCCUUCCCCAAACUUGAUGCAAAAAACAUAAGCAUAAACCAUCAUUAAAUUAUAACGGGGUAUCAACACCACCGUCUUGGAACACUUUGGCCAUAUCAUUUCGCACCUAUCAAACUAAACUGUACAAUGAAGGAUCUUGUUUGAAGGAUCAAUGUCUAAUCGAUAAAAAAUUGCAUUCACAAAAUUAUUGCACUUUAUGUGUGUCUGUCAUGAUAGCCUGAUCAAUAAUAUACAUAACUCCCAUGCAUGAAAAUGGGAUCCAUUGCACGCACCUUAUUCUUCCUACCCCAUCAGGACAUGUCAGACGGUGUUGCUUAUUCAUCUGUACGCAUGUAAUGACUAUUAAAAAGAGGUUUGAAGAGUUGUGACUUUUUAUCUAACACAUUCAAAACAUCUAAUGAACUGAAUACUCCAUCUAUUGAAACUGAUGAAUCAGAUGUUAGAAGAAAUAAAAUAAUACAUAUGUUGCAUCAAAUAUCUCAUCUGUUGCACAUAUAAUCCAUCUGUUGCAACAGAUGGUAAAUCUAUUGCGACAGAUGGACGAUCUGUUGCAACAACUCAAUAAUAACAGUUGUUAUCGAGUCUCAAACCGUUUUAAAAGGUGAGAAGUAUAUUAAUGUAAAAGAAAAAGUCGCUAUUUUUUACUGAAAACAAAAUGCCACCAGUUUGAAUGUAAUUAAUACAAUGGAGCUGAACAGUCAUGCCUUUUGGCCUAAUACGUCCAGAUUCAAUUCUCUAUAAAUAGGUCCCUCCUUAAUCUUCAUUCUACUCAACCUUAUUUACUUCUUGCAUUUUUUCUUUUCGUGUGACAUCUUCAACCACUUUUCUUCAAAGAGCAUAUUCCUUUCUCGUUGAGGUAAUUUUUUUNNNNN
rnacentral:lncRNA from 1 species